rnacentral:rRNA from 1 species
CGCCGGCCCCGCUCUCGGGGCCGGCAACCCGUCAGAGGACCGAAACUC